rnacentral:rRNA from 1 species
GACGAACGCUGGCGGCGUGCUUAACACAUGCAAGUCGAACGGAAAGGCCCUGCUUUUGUGGGGUGCUCGAGUGGCGAACGGGUGAGUAACACGUGAGUAACCUGCCCUUGACUUUGGGAUAACUUCAGGAAACUGGGGCUAAUACCGGAUAGGAGCUCCUGCUGCAUGGCGGGGGUUGGAAAGUUUCGGCGGUUGGGGAUGGACUCGCGGCUUAUCAGCUUGUUGGUGGGGUAGUGGCUUACCAAGGCUUUGACGGGUAGCCGGCCUGAGAGGGUGACCGGCCACAUUGGGACUGAGAUACGGCCCAGACUCCUACGGGAGGCAGCAGUGGGGAAUAUUGCACAAUGGGCGGAAGCCUGAUGCAGCAACGCCGCGUGCGGGAUGACGGCCUUCGGGUUGUAAACCGCUUUCGCCUGUGACGAAGCGUGAGUGACGGUAAUGGGUAAAGAAGCACCGGCUAACUACGUGCCAGCAGCCGCGGUGAUACGUAGGGUGCGAGCGUUGUCCGGAUUUAUUGGGCGUAAAGAGCUCGUAGGUGGUUGAUCGCGUCGGAAGUGUAAUCUUGGGGCUUAACCCUGAGCGUGCUUUCGAUACGGGUUGACUUGAGGAAGGUAGGGGAGAAUGGAAUUCCUGGUGGAGCGGUGGAAUGCGCAGAUAUCAGGAGGAACACCAGUGGCGAAGGCGGUUCUCUGGGCCUUUCCUGACGUUGAGGAGCGAAAGCGUGGGGAGCGAACAGGCUUAGAUACCCUGGUAGUCCACGCUGUAAACGGUGGGUACUAGGUGUGGGGUCCAUUCCACGGGUUCCGUGCCGUAGCUAACGCUUUAAGUACCCCGCCUGGGGAGUACGGCCGCAAGGCUAAAACUCAAAGGAAUUGACGGGGCCCCGCACAAGCGGCGGAGCAUGCGGAUUAAUUCGAUGCAACGCGUAGAACCUUACCUGGGUUUGACAUGGAUCGGGAGUGCUCAGAGAUGGGUGUGCCUCUUUUGGGGUCGGUUCACAGGUGGUGCAUGGCUGUCGUCAGCUCGUGUCGUGAGAUGUUGGGUUAAGUCCCGCAACGAGCGCAACCCUUGUUCACUGUUGCCAGCACGUUAUGGUGGGGACUCAGUGGAGACCGCCGGGGUCAACUCGGAGGAAGGUGGGGAUGACGUCAAGUCAUCAUGCCCCUUAUGUCCAGGGCUUCACGCAUGCUACAAUGGCUGGUACAGAGAGUGGCGAGCCUGUGAGGGUGAGCGAAUCUCGGAAAGUCGGUCUCAGUUCGGAUUGGGGUCUGCAACUCGACCUCAUGAAGUCGGAGUCGCUAGUAAUCGCAGAUCAGCAACGCUGCGGUGAAUACGUUCCCGGG